GCCGCCGGCCCGCGCUCCCGACCAGGCGGCACUUCCGGUCGGCCGUGGGUACCUCUCACAACAGCAGGAAAAUCCCUCCAAAGUAACACCACCAAAUAAAAAUCUUACAAAUCUUCCCAAGCCCACCAGCAGGACUGGCUUCCUCGCCGUGGCCAGUGGACCAAGGAUUGCCCGGGAGACCCGCUUGCCUGCUGCGGACUGAGGACUUGGAGGUGCUGUCGGUGGGCCAGGCUCACCCACCACGGACUGAGAACUCGCUCACUAAGGAUGGAGGACCAGCCCAAUAUGCCUAGCUCACCCAUCGCAGGCCACGAACUCGGCCACGACCACCGAGAGCGUGGGCAACUGUCGAGAGUGAGGUGGACCGUCGAAAGUACAGGGGGUCCAGCGCCGCCGAGAACAUAAGGGGGCUGUCAUUAACGAUCGUGGAACCCGGCAGAGAUUGACGGGGUGGCUGCUUGCUGCCACAUGUGGCGGGAGGCAUGGUUCGUCAUUGCGGGCAGAAGAUAACUCAUGUUUAUUU